rnacentral:rRNA from 1 species
UGGGGAAUAUUGCACAAUGGGCGAAAGCCUGAUGCAGCAACGCCGCGUGAGUGAUGAAGGCCUUCGGGUUGUAAAGCUCUGUCUUUUGGGACGAUAAUGACGGUACCAAAGGAGGAAGCCACGGCUAACUACGUGCCAGCAGCCGCGGUAAUACGUAGGUGGCAAGCGUUGUCCGGAUUUACUGGGCGUAAAGGAUGCGUAGGCGGAUUUUUAAGUGAGAUGUGAAAUACCCGGGCUUAACUUGGGUGCUGCAUUUCAAACUGGGAAUCUAGAGUGCGGGAGAGGAGAAUGGAAUUCCUAGUGUAGCGGUGAAAUGCGUAGAGAUUAGGAAGAACACCAGUGGCGAAGGCGAUUCUCUGGACCGUAACUGACGCUGGGGCAUGAAAGCGUGGGUAGCAAACAGGAUUAGAUACCCUGGUAGUCCACGCCGUAAACGAUGAGUACUAGGUGUAGGAGGUAUCGACCCCUUCUGUGCCGCAGUUAACACAAUAAGUACUCCGCCUGGGAAGUACGAUCGCAAGAUUAAAAACUUAAAUG